rnacentral:rRNA from 1 species
GGUGGGUUGGCUUGUCAGGUUGAUUCCGGUAACGAACGAGACCUCAGCCUGCUAAAUAGUCACGUUUGGUUCGCCAGACGGCAGACUUCUUAGAGGGACUAUUAGCGACUAUCAGCUAAUUGAAGUAUGAGGCAAUAACAGGUCUGUGAUGCCCUUAGAUGUUCUGGGCCGCACGCGCGCUACACUGACGCGUUCAACGAGCCUCCUGGUCACGAGAGGACCGGGUAAUCUUGUAAACCGCGUCGUGAUGGGGCUAGAGCUUUGUAAUUAUUGCUCUUUAACGAGGAAUGCCUAGUAAGCGCGAGUCAUCAACUCGCGUUGAUUACGUCCCUGCCCUUUGUACACACCGCCCGUCGCUCCUUCCGAUUGGGUGUGCUGGUGAAGAGUUCGGACUGUACCAUGGUUCGCAAGAACCAAGGUUCGGGAAGUUCUU